GGAGAAAUGCCUGAGGAGUCAAAGAAGAGGGAAACCACAGCCUAUUCAGUAAGCCUUUGAAUGAGCCAGUGGAAGGAUUUAUUACUCUACUGUAUAUGCUGCUUGACAUGCUGCCAGCCUGUGACCUUCUGCAAGGCGGUCUCAGAGCCAGCAGUGUAAAGGAUGAGAUGGAACUUCCUCCCACUGUCAUCACAAGCUGAGAGAAGAGAUGCUAACAGCCUGCUGUGUACUGCAGUGGAAGGCAGCUGGCACAGAAAGCGUGGAACCACAAGAAAAGGGCAAGCCAGAGCUUUUGCAAAGGGAGACAUUGGCAGUUUGCUGAAGUUUGUUAUGAUUAGUUUUGACUUAGUCUUCUUUGUCUCUUCGGCUUUUAUGGAGAGAAAAGGAACAAAAAUGUAGCAAAUGCUGUUUAAGAACAGCUACAAUUUGCUGUAAUGGUGCAUGGCCUCUCAACUUCAUUUUUAAUUAAUUUCCAAAUCCAG
ensembl:lncRNA